GAUGAAGAACGUAGCGAAAUGCGAUAAGUAAUGUGAAUUGCAGAAUUCAGUGAAUCAUCGAAUCUUUGAACGCACAUUGCGCCCUCUGGUAUUCCGGAGGGCAUGCCUGUCCGAGCGUCAUUGCUGCCCUCAAGCACGGCUUGUGUGUUGGGCCCCGCCCCCCGAUCCCGGGGGGCGGGCCCGAAAGGCAGCGGCGGCACCGCGUCCGGUCCUCGAGCGUAUGGGGCUUUGUCACCCGCUCUGUAGGCCCGGCCGGCGCUUGCCGAUCAACCAAACUUUUUUCCAGGUUGACCUCGGAUCAGGUAGGGAUACCCGCUGAACUUAAGCAUAUCAAUAAGCGGAGGA
rnacentral:misc_RNA from 1 species